rnacentral:rRNA from 1 species
AUGAACGCUAGCUACAGGCUUAACACAUGCAAGUCGAGGGGCAGCAUUUUAGUUUGCUUGCAAACUGAAGAUGGCGACCGGCGCACGGGUGAGUAACACGUAUCCAACCUGCCGAUAACUCCGGAAUAGCCUUUCGAAAGAAAGAUUAAUACCGGAUAGUAUACGAAUAUCGCAUGAUAUUUUUAUUAAAGAAUUUCGGUUAUCGAUGGGGAUGCGUUCCAUUAGUUUGUUGGCGGGGUAACGGCCCACCAAGACUACGAUGGAUAGGGGUUCUGAGAGGAAGGUCCCCCACAUUGGAACUGAGACACGGUCCAAACUCCUACGGGAGGCAGCAGUGAGGAAUAUUGGUCAAUGGGCGAGAGCCUGAACCAGCCAAGUAGCGUGAAGGAUGAAGGCUCUAUGGGUCGUAAACUUCUUUUAUAUGGGAAUAAAGUUUUCCACGUGUGGAAUUUUGUAUGUACCAUAUGAAUAAGGAUCGGCUAACUCCGUGCCAGCAGCCGCGGUAAUACGGAGGAUCCGAGCGUUAUCCGGAUUUAUUGGGUUUAAAGGGAGCGUAGGUGGAUUGUUAAGUCAGUUGUGAAAGUUUGCGGCUCAACCGUAAAAUUGCAGUUGAAACUGGCAGUCUUGAGUACAGUAGAGGUGGGCGGAAUUCGUGGUGUAGCGGUGAAAUGCUUAGAUAUCACGAAGAACUCCGAUUGCGAAGGCAGCUCACUAGACUGUCACUGACACUGAUGCUCGAAAGUGUGGGUAUCAAACAGGAUUAGAUACCCUGGUAGUCCACACAGUAAACGAUGAAUACUCGCUGUUUGCGAUAUACAGUAAGCGGCCAAGCGAAAGCGUUAAGUAUUCCACCUGGGGAGUACGCCGGCAACGGUGAAACUCAAAGGAAUUGACGGGGGCCCGCACAAGCGGAGGAACAUGUGGUUUAAUUCGAUGAUACGCGAGGAACCUUACCCGGGCUUAAAUUGCAACAGAAUAUAUUGGAAACAGUAUAGCCGUAAGGCUGUUGUGAAGGUGCUGCAUGGUUGUCGUCAGCUCGUGCCGUGAGGUGUCGGCUUAAGUGCCAUAACGAGCGCAACCCUUAUCUUUAGUUACUAACAGGUGAUGCUGAGGACUCUAGAGAGACUGCCGUCGUAAGAUGUGAGGAAGGUGGGGAUGACGUCAAAUCAGCACGGCCCUUACGUCCGGGGCUACACACGUGUUACAAUGGGGGGUACAGAAGGCGGCUACCUGGUGACAGGAUGCUAAUCCCAAAAACCUCUCUCAGUUCGGAUCGAAGUCUGCAACCCGACUUCGUGAAGCUGGAUUCGCUAGUAAUCGCGCAUCAGCCAUGGCGCGGUGAAUACGUUCCCGGGCCUUGUACACACCGCCCGUCAAGCCAUGAAAGCCGGGGGUACCUGAAGUACGUAACCGCAAGGAGCGUCCUAGGGUAAAACUGGUAAUUGGGGCU